UUAAAAUCGGCCCCAAUUAAUCGGCCAUUCCGAUUAAUCGGUCGACCAAAUGUGAAAUGGUUUGCUGAAAUGUGCCUCCAAACAUUUGUUGGAUAUGCAUUGCCUAAUCAAUAUAAUUGAAUCACACCAAUUUUGUUAGUAAUAUCUUCUGUGUUUUCCUGAAUUACUAUACAAUAGAGAUCAGGGCCCGUAGCCACAAAGCAUCUCACAAAAGGUCCUAGGAAUCCUGUUAAAACCUGUUUUAGGAAGAAGAAAAAAAUCCCAGCUCGGAGUAGUUUUUAGGUUGAUGUUAAGACACUCCACAGACAAACUCUGAGCUUGGAGUAAAAUUAACUCAUAAAAGUGUAUGACUGAGGUACCUCAAAGGAAAUAUGGGGAUGACAUUCAUUGACAUUGUUUCAAAUGAUGGGGAAUAACCAAUCGCAGUGGGGCAUCACCAGCUGUGAUGCCUCAAUCUUCAGAUAACCACAGUCAAUGUGACUGUACAUCAAAUGUUGCAAUGGUAAAACUUGAGUCUGGUUAGAUUGAUUGGAAUGGGAGAGGAUUACACCGACCAGGAGGCUUAGGCCUGUACUGUUGGGAUGGAGAAAUACCAGAUGGACUGGGAAUGGUCUUCACAGAAGAAAUAACCAUUGAGGGAUUUAAAUGUCAAAUGAUCAAAUGAAAUAAAAUGUUAUUCGUCACAUGCUUCGUAAAAAACAGGUGUAGACUAAUAGUGAAAUUCUUACGGGCCCUUCCCAACAAUGCAGAGAGAAAGAAAAUAGAGAAUUAAUAGAAAAGUAAAACACGUAAUAAUAAAUACAUAAUGAGUAAUGACAACUUGGCUAUGUACACAGGGUACCAGUACUCAGUCGAUGUGCAGGGGUAUGAGGUAAUUGAGAUAUAUACUGUACGUACAUAUAACUAGGAAUAAAGUAACAGAUAAUAAACAGUAACAGCAGCAUAUGUGAUGAGUGAAGAAGGUUAAUGCAAAGGUCAAGGCAGAUAGUCCAGGUAGCUAUUUGGCUAACUAUUAAACUAAAUGUUAAGCUGUCUUAUGGCUUGGGGGUAGAAGCUGUGCAGUUACCAAACCAAGCGGUGAUGCAGCCAGUCAAGAUGCUCUCAAUGGUGCAGCUUUAUAACCUUUUCAGCAUCCUGAGGGGGAAGAAGUUGUGCCUUCUUCAAGACCGUGUUAGUAUGUGUGGACCAUGAUGCAUCCUUAUCUUCAGAUGACGAAAAGGACUUAGCUUUGAACGAUGACGGACUUGUAGAGCGCAGGGGAGUUUUGGAAUGAGAGGUCUAGGGCUU